rnacentral:tRNA from 3 species
CUUGCGGUUGGGGCGGACCCGGACGUCGUCCUCGUCGGUGUGCUUGCCGUAGCGGCGCAUGGUUCCAGUCCGCCCGUCAGU